UACGGAGGGUGCAAACGUUGCUCGGAAUCAUUGGGCGUAAAGCGCACGUAGGUGGCUUUGCAAGUCGGGUGUGAAAUCCCCAGGCUUAACCUGGGAACUGCAUUCGAGACUGCAUUGCUAGAGUAUGGGAGAGGGAAGUGGAAUUUCCGGUGUAGCGGUGAAAUGCGUAGAUAUCGGAAGGAACAUCAGUGGCGAAAGCGACUUCCUGGACCAAUACUGACGCUCAUGUGCGAAAGCGUGGGGAGCAAACAGG
rnacentral:rRNA from 1 species